UAGGGAAUCUUCCACAAUGGACGCAAGUCUGAUGGAGCAACGCCGCGUGAGUGAAGAAGGUUUUCGGACCGUAAAGCUCUGUUGUUGGUGAAGAAGGAUAGAGGUAGUAACUGGCCUUUAUUUGACGGUAAUCAACCAGAAAGUCACGGCUAACUACGUGCCAGCAGCCGCGGUAAUACGUAGGUGGCAAGCGUUGUCCGGAUUUAUUGGGCGUAAAGCGAGCGCAGGCGGAAGAAUAAGUCUGAUGUGAAAGCCCUCGGCUUAACCGAGGAAUUGCAUCGGAAACUGUUUUUCUUGAGUGCAGAAGAGGAGAGUAGAACUCCAUGUGUAGCGGUGGAAUGCGUAGAUAUAUGGAAGAAUACCAGUGGCGAAGGCGGCUCUCUGGUCUGCAACUGACGUUGAGGCUCGAAAGCAUGGGUAGCGAACAGGAUUAGAUACCCUGGUAGUCCAUGCCGUAAACGAUGAGUGCUAAGUGUUGGGAGGCUUCCGCCUCUCAGUGCUGCAGCUAACGCAUUAAGCACUCCGCCUGGGGGAGUACGACCGCAAGGUUGAAAC
rnacentral:rRNA from 1 species